UGGGGAAUAUUGCACAAUGGGCGCAAGCCUGAUGCAGCCAUGCCGCGUGUAUGAAGAAGGCCUUCGGGUUGUAAAGUACUUUCAGCGGGGAGGAAGGCGAUAAGGUUAAUAACCUUGUCGAUUGACGUUACCCGCAGAAGAAGCACCGGCUAACUCCGUGCCAGCAGCCGCGGUAAUACGGAGGGUGCAAGCGUUAAUCGGAAUUACUGGGCGUAAAGCGCACGCAGGCGGUCUGUCAAGUCGGAUGUGAAAUCCCCGGGCUCAACCUGGGAACUGCAUUCGAAACUGGCAGGCUAGAGUAUUGUAGAGGGGGGUAGAAUUCCAGGUGUAGCGGUGAAAUGCGUAGAGAUCUGGAGGAAUACCGGUGGCGAAGGCGGCCCCCUGGACAAAGACUGACGCUCAGGUGCGAAAGCGUGGGGAGCAAACA
rnacentral:rRNA from 1 species